AACGAACGCUGGCGGCAUGCCUAACACAUGCAAGUCGAACGAGACCUUCGGGUCUAGUGGCGCACGGGUGCGUAACGCGUGGGAACCUGCCCUUAGGUUCGGAAUAACUCCCCGAAAGGGGUGCUAAUACCGGAUAAUGUCUUCGGACCAAAGAUUUAUCGCCUUUGGAUGGGCCCGCGUUGGAUUAGCUAGUUGGUAGGGUAAAAGCCUACCAAGGCGACGAUCCAUAGCUGGUCUGAGAGGAUGAUCAGCCACACUGGGACUGAGACACGGCCCAAACUCCUACGGGAGGCAGCAGUGGGGAAUAUUGGACAAUGGGCGAAAGCCUGAUCCAGCAAUGCCGCGUGAAUGAUGAAGGCCUUAGGGUUGUAAAGCUCUUUUACCCGGGAUGAUAAUGACAGUACCGGGAGAAUAAGCUCCGGCUAACUCCGUG
rnacentral:rRNA from 1 species